rnacentral:misc_RNA from 1 species
AGAGUGAUGGUGAAACAAGUGAACAGAAUCAGAAUGAUGAAUACAGAAAUGUCUGUGAUCAUGAACUGCGCCCACAAGAAGAUUUCCAUUAAUGCUGGAAUGCCCUUGGGUGGGUUAAAGAAGGCACUGAAGUUGAACUUGAUAAUGUUGGAUGCCUUAGCUUGAGAGAGCAAAAAUUUGAAAAGGUUACUGCAUCCCACGGAACAGAUGUUACAAGAUUCACUCUGAGGAACAUUUUGAGGAUGUAUCCUAAAGGUAUUCGAAAUGACUCUUCCAACUACAAGCCAAUGAAUGGUUAGUUGCACCAAGCUCAAAUGUUAGCACUUAACAUGCAGGGAUAUGGAAAAUCACUUUUCUUGAUGGAUGGGAUGUUUAGAUCAAAUGGAGGGUGUGGUUUUGUUAAAAGGCCUGUUUUUUUAAUGUGGGUCCAGAAAAUAAGGUUAAAGUUUAUGUGGGGAAUGGAUGGCAUUUAGAUUUAAAGCGAGCACAAUUUGCUUUAUUCUGCUCACCAGAUUUCUAUAUCAGGGUAAGUUGGAGUUUGCUGGAAGUAUGUUAAUUAAAAAAAAAAAAAAUCUAAGUCUAUAUGCUUGCUAAAAUUUAAAUUUCUUUUGCAUUUUUCGAUUGGUUCCUGUAUGACUAAAUGACUAAUGUAGUUGUUGCAUAUUUUACUUGUAAACCCUAUGGAGAGAACAUUGGCAUAGCAGGGGCGUCAGCUGAUAGGGCAAUGAAGAAAACAAAGAAAAAGAGAACAAUUGGACUCCCAUUUGGGAUGAAGAGUUCACCUUUCCAGGAAUUGGCUUUGCUUCGUGUUGAAGUUCAUGACCGUUUCAUGCCUGAGAAGGAUGAUUUAGCAGGUCAAGCCUGUUUGCCCCUCUCUCAAUAAGGCUAGGCAUCCGUGCAGUUCCCCUCUUUGAUGAGAAGGGAAAAUAAGUUCAGCUCAAUGAGACUUCUUAUGCAGUUUUAGUUUCUAUAGAAAGUUCCAAGUUCAGUUUGAUAUAUACGUGAUGAUUAAUUUGUUUCAGGUGAAGUAUGUAUACAUGGCGAUUCAUAUCCAUGUACAUGCUUUUACAUGCUUAAUUGGGUUGAACUGCUGUAAACACUUGUUAAAUUGAUGAUCAA